UGCAUACACACGUGUCUGUGUGCACUUGUGUGCAUGCAUUUGCAUCUGCAUGUGUGUACUGUGCGUGUGUACCUGUGCGUGUACCUGUACACUUGGGUGCAUGCAUGCACGUCUGCUUGUGUGUGCCUGUGCGUGUGUGCACCUGUGUGCAUGUACGUGCGUCUACGUGUGUGCCUGUGCAUGUGUGCGCCUGUGUGUACCUGUGUGUAUGCAUCUUUGCACGUGCACAUGCCACUCAGGUAGGGAAAGAUUGGAGUCCGA
rnacentral:lncRNA from 1 species